rnacentral:rRNA from 1 species
UUGACGGGGGCCCGCACAAGUGGUGGAGUAUGUGGUUUAAUUCGACGCAACGCGCAGAACCUUUACCUGGUCUUGACAUCCCGAGAAUUUUCUGGAAACAGAGAAGUGCCUCGCAAGAGGAAUUCGGAGACAGGUGCUGCAUGGCUGUCGUCAGCUCGUGUCGUGAGAUGUUGGGUUAAGUCCCGCAACGAGCGCAACCCUUGUCUUUAGUUGCCAUCAUUAAGUUGGGCACUCUAAAGAGACUGCCGGUGUCAAACCGGAGGAAGGUGGGGAUGACGUCAAGUCCUCAUGGCCUUUAUGACCAGGGCUACACACGUACUACAAUGGCAGGUACAAAGGGCAGCCACUUAGCGAUAAGGCGCGAAUCCCGUAAAACCUGUCUCAGUCCGGAUUGGAGUCUGCAACUCGACUCCAUGAAGUUGGAAUCGCUAGUAAUCGCAGAUCAGCACGCUGCGGUGAAUACGUUCCCGGGCCUU